rnacentral:rRNA from 1 species
AUGUCCUUGUCAGGAAAAUCAGUGGGAAGGGAAAUGCCCGGCAACUCGCUCAUCUUGCUAGGGCCUUCAUUUCCUUUCAGUAUUGUUAUAACAAGGCGCAUAAGUCAACUGCGCAGUGCAGACAGUGUGCACUGGGCAUGCAGCAAACGCAACGGCCAGGUGCCCAGCUUUUCGGCGCUGAAAGAAACUUCCAUCCACCACAAGAGGGCCUACCGUGAAACAACUGCUAGUGGCCGGUGCUUGAUGGCCGGCAUGCCGGGCAAUGGAGUAAGACCUUGCGCCAAUUUAUGGACUACCCAGUGUGAAAAUCAUUCGUCCAAAAGAUCACAGACGAGUGAAAUACAAUAUUAA